ACGCGGGGAGCUCCGUCAUACAGAACCCCAGCAAGCUUGCGUGACUAACGGAGGAGCGUCUCCCCUUAGAUUCUUCCCGCCCGGAGCCGGGGACAGCAGAAAACCACCUGACCUCCAGAUUCUCUCUCGUCCAGUGGAGAUUCUCCUGCCCGAAGGCAGGCGCUCUCCAAGGUCCCUCUCCCCAGAAGAGCCACGAUCCCAGGAAGCCGGCUUGUGCAGAGGAAAGAACCGCACCUCGUUGUCAGAACAACCCCAGCUCUGCCACCUACACCUUGUGUGACCUUGGGCAAGUCAGAGAAACUUCUCAGAUGCACAAUCUCGUCACGCUCCUAGUUUCCAAGCCCACACACCUGAGGGUCAAUGUCCCUUAUUGCACCC
rnacentral:lncRNA from 1 species